rnacentral:misc_RNA from 1 species
AAAGUGCGACAAGUGUCACGACUUGCAGAUUCCCGGGAGCUGACCACUUUCUGAAUGCAGAUUGCGGCCCGACAAUCUAAGCCGUCGGCCAUGUGCUGCAGAGUGUUCUUGCCUUGUGCAUUCCAUCUUUCUGGUCCUCGUGCCCAGAAGAAUUCGGAGUUGAGCGGCCUGUGUUUGGCCAGCAAAAUCCACUGCAUAACGCGGUGGUUGGUCACGCGCGUUCAGCUCUGAGAUGUGCGCAAGCUCGCCCGUCAAAAAGACGAGCCUGCCUUGAAAUAUUCUUCGGAAUUUUCUGUGGCAUAAAAGGCUCCUUUGACUGAGAAGCGCCUUGAGAGGCCCACCAAAGCCUCCACUCCUUUUGCUGACCUCUGCGGCAUAAGAAAACCCGCUGAACUUAA